GUUAUUAAAUGUUGGUGGCUCAUAAUGCAGUGCAUUUGAGAAAGGCAUGCUUUCAAAGGUCAAGACUGCUUUCCUGAUUCCUACAACAACAAAAAAACUUUAAAAUGCUGGUGGCAAUAUUUUAAAGAGUGCAUCUGAUC